AGCAAACGCGGCAAAAAGAAAAAAUUUCCUCAUUUAUUUUUCACUUUGGCUCUAGGUUUUCUCCUUUCAAUUAGACUGUUACAAUUGAAAUCUUUGUUUGGUAUCGCUCUUCGGUAAGCAUGUUCCCACCUCAAAAUUUAAAUUACAUCUGAAGAUUUUAAUCAUCCAAAGUCCAUCGAAGAUAUGUAUAAAGCAGCUACACCUACUUUUUACUCCAACGUUUGUGUUAGGGUUUCUUGCUCUGAAUCGUUGUCUUUCUAUUCAGUAACUCCAAUAAAUGGAUUUUCUUGUUCAACAUUUUGGGGGUCAACUGCAACCUAGUUUUUCCAACUCUCGAAUCAAUUAGGUGCAGAUUCACUUGGAAUCAAGGAAGGUUGUGGACAAACUAAAAUAGGGUAUUGAGAAAUAAAGAACUCUUCGGGAGAAAAGAUGAUACUAGAAAUCCUAGUUGGUAAAUGGAGAUCAAUCAAGGUAGUGAUUACAUUGUAUUUUUUUAGACAAUCAUACUUUUAUUGAAGGACAUUAGUUCGUCAUAAAUGCGACAAAAAAUAGAUUUUGUCCUAGAAUUUUCUUAUCAAUAAUAUAUAAUAUUUUAUUUGACAA